rnacentral:lncRNA from 1 species
CAUCUUCACUAACAAGAGUCACUAACUUGAAUAUUAGGUCAUAUGCUUAUACGAACUUUCAUUAUGUCUAGUAGGCAAACAGUAAAUUGGUAAAAUCACAACAGAUGUGCUUAGAAGACUUCAGAGGAAAGGUACAUCAAAAUUAAUAUUUUAGUCCCUAACAACCUAGUCAUACUUUACAGAAGAGUUGACUAAGGAACCAUGAUUAAUAAACAUAGAAGGAAAAAGAAUAAGAUGAGUAAAAUGUGAUGCCAACUUUUAAGAAACUCUCAGUUCAGUAGAUGUCUCUGACCCUUACAAAAACCUAAAGAAUUAAGUAUUAUUACCCCCAUUUUAAUUGAGGAAACUGAUGUAAGUAGCUUGCUCUAAAUUACAUACAGGGUGAACAAACCAGAAUUUAAUA